GAUGAACGCUGGCGGCGUGCCUAACACAUGCAAGUCGAACGAGGUAUUUUGAUUGAAGUUUUCGGAUGGAUUUCAAGAUGCCGAGUGGCGGACGGGUGAGUAACGCGUGGGUAACCUGCCUCAUACAGGGGGAUAACGGUUAGAAAUGACUGCUAAUACCGCAUAAGCGCACAGUACCGCAUGGUACGGUGUGAAAAACUCCGGUGGUAUGAGAUGGACCCGCGUCUGAUUAGCUAGUUGGUGAGGUAACGGCCCACCAAGGCGACGAUCAGUAGCCGACCUGAGAGGGUGACCGGCCACAUUGGGACUGAGACACGGCCCAGACUCCUACGGGAGGCAGCAGUGGGGGAUAUUGCACAAUGGAGGAAACUCUGAUGCAGCGACGCCGCGUGAGUGAAGAAGUAUUUCGGUAUGUAAAGCUCUAUCAGCAGGGAAGAAAAUGACGGUACCUGACUAAGAAGCCCCGGCUAACUACGUGCCAGCAGCCGCGGUAAUACGUAGGGGGCAAGCGUUAUCCGGAUUUACUGGGUGUAAAGGGAGCGUAGACGGCGACGCAAGUCUGAAGUGAAAUACCCGGGCUCAACCUGGGAACUGCUUUGGAAACUGUGUUGCUAGAGUGCUGGAGAGGUAAGCGGAAUUCCUAGUGUAGCGGUGAAAUGCGUAGAUAUUAGGAAGAACACCAGUGGCGAAGGCGGCUUACUGGACAGUAACUGACGUUGAGGCUCGAAAACGUGGGGAGCAAACAGG
rnacentral:rRNA from 1 species